ACUUACUUAAGUGGCUAGUGCACCAAGGCUGGAGUCCUUGGGACCCAGGUUCGAAUCCUGGCGGGGGCA
rnacentral:tRNA from 1 species